CCUACGGGUGGCAGCAGUGGGGAAUAUUGGACAAUGGGCGAAAGCCUGAUCCAGCCAUGCCGCGUGUGUGAAGAAGGCCUUCGGGUUGUAAAGCACUUUCAGUGGGGAAGAAAGCCUUGGGGCUAAUACCCUCGAGGAAGGACAUCACCCACAGAAGAAGCACCGGCUAACUCCGUGCCAGCAGCCGCGGUAAUACGGAGGGUGCGAGCGUUAAUCGGAAUUACUGGGCGUAAAGCGCGCGUAGGCGGUCUGAUAAGCCGGUUGUGAAAGCCCCGGGCUCAACCUGGGAACGGCAUCCGGAACUGUCAGGCUAGAGUGCAGGAGAGGAAGGUAGAAUUCCCGGUGUAGCGGUGAAAUGCGUAGAGAUCGGGAGGAAUACCAGUGGCGAAGGUGGCCUUCUGGACUGACACUGACGCUGAGGUGCGAAAGCGUGGGUAGCAAACAGGAUUAGAUACCCCUGUAGUC
rnacentral:rRNA from 1 species